rnacentral:rRNA from 1 species
AUGUGUGUGAAGUCACUUGUUCGGUUGGAUGCAUACAAGAAGGCCGGUAUGGUGCGCACGCGAAAGCGAAAAGAGGGUUGGAAAUUGAAGAAGUGGGAGGCGUGGGAACAUGACCGUUCUAAGAUAGAGGAGCUGUGGAGAUCAGGCCAUCGGAUUCAGCAAAGGAUGCAUGAAAUGGCACAUGUGAUCGGCGCAGCCAUCAGUCUGAACUUGCCUGCCCCACCAGAUCAGCAGAAUAGUCCCCACCGACGGCUUAAUUGGGUGGAGCAGAGGCGGGUGACGGACAUGCUGGAGUCUCAUGUUGAUAGUUUGGAUGCUCCAUGGAAGGUCUUAGUCCAGGCAGCUGACGCCUUCAGUAGUGAGAGCAAGAAGAUGACCCCAGCGGCAGACCAGGCAAAGCAGAGAAAUGAAGAGGAGAGUGAGGCUGGCCCAUCAAGGCCCAAGCGGAAGAGGAAGCCCAGCUCCAGAUUUGAUUCGUCGACGUGGACAACCUGA